rnacentral:lncRNA from 1 species
AUGCAUAAUGGCAAACAACUUCAGAGUUGAGCCAUCUGAUCAAACGUUGAACAUCAUCUUUCCCAGAAUUCCUACCAUCUACUACAGUUACUACACUCCACCAUGAGUUUCAGGUGCAUCUUCCCACCUCUGGGCCCUAGCUUAGACAUAUGUUUUAGGGUAUAAUUGCUGGGAAGAGACACCAUGAUGAUGGCAACUGUUGUAAAGGAAAACAUUUAAUUAAGUCUGGCUUACAGGUUCAAAGGUUUAG